CUGAGCAAUCACGAGCCCAGCCUUGGUCGAGAGACCCGGGUAAUCUUGUAACCUGCGUCGUGAUGGGGCUAGACUCUUGCAAUUAUUAGUCUUCAACGAGGAAUGCCUAGUAAGCGCGAGUCAUCAGCUCGCGUUGAUUACGUCCCUGCCCUUUGUACACACCGCCCGUCGCUCCUACCGAUUGGAUGUGCUGGUGAAGCCCUAGGACUGGCGGCCUUUGGUGGUUCUCCGCCGACGGUCGCCGGGAAUUCGGUUAAACCCUCCCAUCUAGAGGAAGGAGAAGUCGUAACAAGGUCUCCGUAGGUGAACCUGCGGAGGGAUCAUUGAAUCUAUCGUAUUGUAUACCCGCUAACCCAGACGUUGUGUUCCCUCGGUGCGGGCCCCUUGUGGGACCGCCCGAGCGCUUGUUCCUGGCCCAGCCACUGGCCGACCCGUUUGCGGUCGGUGAAGCCUGGGCAAAGGUCUUGCGGUGUGGGACCCUGCCUCUCCCCAGGGAGAGGGGGGCUGGCCUUCACGGCUGGCCUCGCCCGCUGGACAAAAUACCCACUCUAACCACACACCAAACAAAGCUGAAGCUUUGAGGAAGCCUCACGGCCGACUCACAAACCUAGACAACUCUCAACAACGGAUAUCUUGGCUCCCGCAACGAUGAAGAACGCAGCGAAAUGCGAUACUUAAUGUGAAUUGCAGAAUUCCGUGAAUCAUCGAGUCUUUGAACGCAUAUUGCGCCCGAGGCUUCGGUCAAGGGCAUGUCUGCCUCAGCGUCGGUUGACCCCUCUCGUCCACUUCCCUCGUGGAAGCAGACGGACCUGGCAGUCCCGCUGGCGACAGCGGGUCUGCUGCAGAACAGACGACGAGCCAGCCGCAGCGCCGCUCGAUUGGUA
rnacentral:rRNA from 1 species